rnacentral:rRNA from 1 species
AUAUACAACUAUCGACUUAAGAGAAUUAGGCACCCUGUCUGCUCUACUAUACAAAAGCUUAAGAUCAGUAGAUUAGUAGUUAGAUAGGUGACUACUAGCCAAUACCUACUGUUGUUCGUU